rnacentral:rRNA from 1 species
CAGAGGGUGCAAGCGUUGCUCGGAAUCAUUGGGCGUAAAGGGCAAGUAGGUGGUCUCAUUUGUCUUGUGUGAAAUCCUUGGGCUUAACUCAAGAAGUGCGCAAGAAACGGUGAGACUCGAGUUCUGGAGAGGGUCGUGGAAUUCCCAGUGUAGCGGUGAAAUGCGUAGAGAUCGGGAGGAACACCAGAGGCGAAGGCGGCGACCUGGACAGAUACUGACACUCAACUGCGAAAGCGUGGGGAGCAAACAGGAUUAGAUACCCUGGUAGUCCACGCUGUAAACGAUGGGAACUAGGUUUGGAGGGUCUUGACCCCCGCCGAACCGGAGCUAACGCAAUAAGUUCCCCGCCUGGGAAGUACGGUCGCAAGACUA